rnacentral:misc_RNA from 1 species
GCAUUAUCAUUCUUUUGUACUUCUCCCCUUUCAACAAGAAUAAUCAAUGGCUCAUAGUAAUUACAAAUUAGUUAAAUCUUCCUCCCAGCAUUCAAACAACCUCUACUUUCCCUUAUCUAUCUUCGCUGCUCCAAUGGGAGCUUAUAGGUCCUUUUCAUGGUUAUUUUUCUUUACACAAACUUUGACGAAGACUCAAAUUUCACAGCUAUAAAAACUGAUUUCAAUGACAUUGAAGUACAUAUCGUCCAUCCUUUCAUAGUGAUUCUAGUUUUUCAGCACUCCACGUCCAAAGCUUGUCUAGGUCAACACCCUCCGGCCCGAGCCCAAGAGAUAUGCAGAAUAAG